GCCGAGGUGAUGGAACUGGUAGACAUGCUUGGCUUAGGACCAAGUGCUGAACGGCGUGCAGGUUCAAGUCCUGUCCUCGGUA
rnacentral:tRNA from 1 species